GGAUGUGAGGGCGAUCUGGCUGUGACAUCUGUCACCCCAUUGAUCGCCAGGGUUGAUUCGGCUGAUCUGGCUGGCUAGGUGGGUAUCCCCUUCUUCCCUAACCGCUCCAUGUGUGUCCCUCCCAAAGCUGUGUGCUCGGUUCGGUCAAAGAGGAUGGCCUUCCCUGAAUAGAGACGGACCAGUCUUUGGUCGAGGGUAUAUGAGAAGCUGUGCUCCCCUGCUUGGGCCUCCAAGCAAGCUCUCAAGGACAGUGGAUUAGCACAGUGGGUUAGCACCGAACCCCAGUGAUAACUCUGGUAGGAUAAAUAAAUAAAUAAAUAAAUC
ensembl:misc_RNA 7SK 7SK RNA